rnacentral:rRNA from 1 species
GAUGAACGCUAGCUACAGGCUUAACACAUGCAAGUCGAGGGGAAACGACAUCGAAAGCUUGCUUUUGAUGGGCGUCGACCGGCGCACGGGUGAGUAACGCGUAUCCAACCUGCCCACCACUUGGGGAUAACCUUGCGAAAGUAAGACUAAUACCCAAUGAUAUCCCACGAAGACAUCUGAAUGGGAUUAAAGAUUUAUCGGUGAUGGAUGGGGAUGCGUCUGAUUAGCUUGUUGGCGGGGUAACGGCCCACCAAGGCAACGAUCAGUAGGGGUUCUGAGAGGAAGGUCCCCCACAUUGGAACUGAGACACGGUCCAAACGCCUACGGGAGGCAGCAGUGAGGAAUAUUGGUCAAUGGGCGAGAGCCUGAACCAGCCAAGUAGCGUGCAGGAAGACGGCCCUAUGGGUUGUAAACUGCUUUUAUAAGGGAAUAAAGUGGGUCACGUGUGACUUUUUGCAUGUACCUUAUGAAUAAGGACCGGCUAAUUCCGUG